GUAAAAGUGAAUGGAAAUCUAUGAAAUUUUGACACAAGGUUUAUGACCACAAAAGAACGGUUAGGAUUGAUUUUGGGAGUUUUGGUUUCAACAGUUUAGGAAUUAGGGGCCAAAAAAGGGCCCAAAUAAGCAUUUUCUUGGUUUUCGCACUAUAACUUUAGUUUAAGUUAAUAGAAAUCUAUGAAAUUUUGACACAAGGUUUAUGACCACAAAAGAACGGUUGGGAUUGAUUUUGGGAGUUUUGGUUUCAACAGUUUAGGAAUUAGGGGCCAAAAAAGGGCCCAAAUAAGCAUUAUUCUUGGUUUUCGCACAAUAACUUUAGUUUAAGUAAAUAGAAAUCAAUGAAAUUUAAACACAAUGUUAAUGACUACAAAAGGAAGGUUGGUAUUGAUUUUGGGAGUUUAGGUCCCAACAGUUUAGGAAUUAGGGG
rnacentral:lncRNA from 1 species